CCCAGACUCCUACGGGAGGCAGCAGUGGGGAAUAUUGCACAAUGGGGGAAACCCUGAUGCAGCGACGCCGCGUGAGUGAAGAAGUAUUUCGGUAUGUAAAGCUCUCUCAGCAGGGAAGAAAAUGACGGUACCUGACUAAGAAGCCCCGGCUAACUACGUGCCAGCAGCCGCGGUAAUACGUAGGGGGCAAGCGUUAUCCGGAUUUACUGGGUGUAAAGGGAGCGUAGACGGUGAUGCAAGUCAGAAGUGAAAGCCCGGGGCUCAACUCCGGGACUGCUUUUGAAACUGUGUAACUGGAGUGCAGGAGAGGUGAGCGGAAUUCCUGGUGUAGCGGUGAAAUGCGUAGAUAUCAGGAGGAACACCGGCGGCGAAGGCGGCCUGCUGGACUGCGACUGACGUUGAGGCUCGAAAGCGUGGGGAGCGGACAGGAUUAGAUACCCCGGUACA
rnacentral:rRNA from 1 species